UCCGUGUUAACCACGGCAGUCUCUUUAGAGUGCCCAACUUAAUGCUGGCAACUAAAGACAAGGGUUGCGCUCGUUGCGGGACUUAACCCAACAUGUCACCACACGAGCUGACGACAGCCAUGCAGCACCUGUCUUUCUGUCGUAUUGCUACGAAAACUGCAUCUCUGCAGCGGUCAGAAGAUGUCAAAUCCAGGUAAGGUUCUUCGCGUUGCUUCGAAUUAAACCACAUGAUCCACCGCUUGUGCGGGCCCCCGUCAAUUCCUUUGAGUUUUAGUCUUGCGACCGUACUUCCCAGGCGGGGUACUUAUUGCGUUAGCUGCGACUCGGCAGGGGUCAAGUCCCACCAAGUCUAGUACCCAUCGUUUACGGCGUGGACUAC
rnacentral:misc_RNA from 1 species